rnacentral:rRNA from 1 species
UAGGGAAUCUUCGGCAAUGGACGAAAGUCUGACCGAGCAACGCCGCGUGAGUGAAGAAGGUUUUCGGAUCGUAAAACUCUGUUGUUAGAGAAGAACAAGGACGUUAGUAACUGAACGUCCCCUGACGGUAUCUAACCAGAAAGCCACGGCUAACUACGUGCCAGCAGCCGCGGUAAUACGUAGGUGGCAAGCGUUCUCCGGAUUUAUUGGGCGUAAAGCGAGCGCAGGCGGUUUCUUAAGUCUGGUGUGAAAGCCCCCGGCUCAACCGGGGAGGGUCAUUGGAAACUGGGAGACUUGAGUGCAGAAGAGGAGAGUGGAAUUCCAUGUGUAGCGGUGAAAUGCGUAGAUAUAUGGAGGAACACCAGUGGCGAAGGCGGCUCUCUGGUCUGUAACUGACGCUGAGGCUCGAAAGCGUGGGGAGCAAACAGG